CCUAGAAAACUCAGCUACUGGCACCAUAAAGUUCAGAUCGCUCCUUGUCUUCUGCGUCCUCUUCUGCCUGGUGAACAUCACCAGCUCAGCCCAUCUCAAGAAAGGGGCUCCCUGGGAGCUGUCCCAAAUUCUGCCUGCCCUGUGCCAGCUCCCCUCACUAGGGGUCCCUGCAGAGGCCUCUUCUACCGGUACUUCUACAAUGACACAUCCAGUGAGGGUGAGCGUUUUACCUACAGUGGUUGUCAGGGCAAUGCCAACAAUUUUGAGACCACGGAGAUCUGCGUGAGGAUCUGUAAGCCCCCUGAGACGAGGUAAAGGACAGCUGAAGACCAUGUCUGCAUCCUCCCAGCCUUGUCUGAAAGCUACGGGGCCUCCCUUCCUGGGCUUGGUUCCUGCUUGGAACCCAUCCUGUUAUCCUCCAGGCCUGGAUCAAUAAAACAUUCAAAGUUGGUGUGGCCUGAAACUUUCCUAUGAGGGUCCUGGGCCUGUCCUCAUGAAUUGCUCACAACCACCUCAGCUCUCAAGGGUGACCAAACCUGCCUCACCCCCACCCCUACCCCCUUAGGCCCUCAUUGUCCUGUGCUCUCAGAAGAAGACUAAGGACCGGGGUGGCUGGGUGGCUCAAUUGGUUAAGUGCCCAACUCUU